rnacentral:rRNA from 1 species
UGGGGAAUAUUGGACAAUGGGCGAAAGCCUGAUCCAGCCAUGCCGCGUGUGUGAAGAAGGCCUUUUGGUUGUAAAGCACUUUAAGUGGGGAGGAAAAGCUUAUGGUUAAUACCCAUAAGCCCUGACGUUACCCACAGAAUAAGCACCGGCUAACUCUGUGCCAGCAGCCGCGGUAAUACAGAGGGUGCAAGCGUUAAUCGGAAUUACUGGGCGUAAAGCGCGCGUAGGUGGUUAUUUAAGUCAGAUGUGAAAGCCCCGGGCUUAACCUGGGAACUGCAUCUGAUACUGGAUAACUAGAGUAGGUGAGAGGGGAGUAGAAUUCCAGGUGUAGCGGUGAAAUGCGUAGAGAUCUGGAGGAAUACCGAUGGCGAAGGCAGCUCCCUGGCAUCAUACUGACACUGAGGUGCGAAAGCGUGGGUAGCAAACAGGAUUAGAUACCCUGGUAGUCCACGCCGUAAACGAUGUCUACCAGUCGUUGGGUCUUUUAAAGACUUAGUGACGCAGUUAACGCAAUAAGGUAGACCGCCUGGGGAGUACGGCCGCAAGGUUA